rnacentral:rRNA from 1 species
AGCGAACGCUGGCGGCAGGCCUAACACAUGCAAGUCGAACGGCACCACAGUAAUUGCUUGCUCUUACGUGUGGCGAGUGGCGGACGGGUGAGGUAUACACCGGACUCUACUUUUUCGUGGGGGCUAACGUAGGGAAACUUACUCUAAGACCGCAUACGACCUACUUGUGAAAGCAGGGGAUCUUCGGACCUUGCGCGAUUGAAUGAGCCGAUGUCGGAUUAGCUAGUUGGCGGGGUAAUGGCCCACCAAGGCGACGAUCCGUAGCUGGUCUGAGAGGAAGGAUCAGCACCUGGGAACGGAGACAGCGUCCAGACUCCUGCGGGAGGCCGCAGAGGGGAAUACUGGGCAAGGGGGGAAAGCCUGAUCCAGCCAAACCGAGUGGGUGAAGAAGGCCUUCGGGUUGGUAAGCCAUUUUGUUGGGAAAAAAAAGCAGCAGGUUAACACCCCGCGAUACUGACGGUACCCGAAGAAUAAGCCCCGGCUAACUUCGUG